UCCAGUGUAGUCUUGUGUCUAAGCUGGUGUCUGGCCACCAAAGGCAGGCGUGCAGGGCCUUGGCUACUGCGCUAGGUCUGCUGAUGGCCACAAGCCUUUAGUCCCAGCUCUGCCUUAGCAAUGGGGGUGUCUGAAGGCUCAGGGGAUACACAGGUCCUCUAGGUUCCUGGGGAGAUGAUGAGUGAGAGUUUCGACCAGGAGUGGAUACUGAGGAGAGCAAAGAUCACCUGGUGCUCAUCAAGCCGGACUUCCAGAGGCAAAGCUCCUUAACUGAAGAAUUCAGAAUCUAUCAUUGAUGGGCAUUUAGGUUGGUUCCAUGUC
rnacentral:lncRNA from 1 species